rnacentral:rRNA from 1 species
AGUCGAGCGGUAACAGGCAUUUUGAUUCAGCUUGCUGAAUCUCGCGCUGACGAGCGGCGGACGGGUGAGUAACGCGUAGGAAUCUACCUAGUAGAAGGGGAUAGCCCGGGGAAACUCGGAUUAAUACCGUAUACGUCCUUAGGGAGAAAGAGGGCUUAGCUUUGAUGCUCUCGCUAUUAGAUGAGCCUGCGUAAGAUUAGCUCGUUGGUGAGGUAAAGGCUCACCAAGGCUACGAUCUUUAGCUGGUCUGAGAGGACGAUCAGCCACACUGGGACUGAGACACGGCCCAGACUCCUACGGGAGGCAGCAGUGGGGAAUAUUGGACAAUGGGCGCAAGCCUGAUCCAGCCAUACCGCGUGUGUGAAGAAGGCCUUCGGGUUGUAAAGCACUUUAAGUAAGGAAGAAAAGUAUAUUGUUAAUACCAAUGUACCGUGACAUUACUUACAGAAUAAGGACCGGCUAAUUCCGUGCCAGCAGCCGCGGUAAUACGGAGGGGGUUAGCGUUGUUCGGAAUUACUGGGCGUAAAGCGCACGUAGGCGGAUUAGAAAGUUGGGGGUGAAAUCCCGGGGCUCAACCUCGGAACGGCCUCCAAAACUCCUAGUCUAGAGUUCGAGAGAGGUGAGUGGAAUUCCAAGUGUAGAGGUGAAAUUCGUAGAUAUUUGGAGGAACACCAGUGGCGAA